GUGUUACUGACUCGCCCAAAUGUCCCCCUUCUUUAACUGAGGGACGAACUUGGUGGAUUUUACUGGCCCUGCUCUGGACACCUCCACUGCCUGUAAAGAAAAACAGCUAGAGCUUGCCGAGAAGAGGAUCCCAUCGCUGAGGCUUCAUCAGGAUGUAGCAACUGCUGCCCGCCCUAUCCUCCUAUUAAAAGGGCGGGAAUUUCAUGAGGAUAUGAAGAAGGUUUAAGGGGAGAGUUUGGCUACCACUAUCAGUCAGGGAGAUCUCUUACUGUCCUUGCCCAAUGUCAAUGGUGUUGUUACAUUUGUCACAGGAGAAUAUUAGGAUAGCUAAUUAUGACAAGUUGGUGAGGGCGAGAUGCUGGCUAUUGUUGAAAAAUACAGCUUUGUCGAUGCAGAGUUGGCUGCAACUACGGACUCUCUCAACUCUGAGUAGUUGGCUCAUUUCAAGGAAGCUAAUCGCAAGCAUUAUAAAGUAAAGCCUCCAAGAACAAGUGGAAGGCAGCUCCUCAACGGGAGGCUUUCAUCUACCAAGCCCAACUGAUUCUCUUAGAUUUCUGCAAUCUCCCCAUAUUAACAAAUCAAAUAAUUCAAUUGUGUUGAAUUCACAAACUAACAGAUUUAUCUUAUAAAUUCAAAUCCUCAUACUUUUAGUAAUGCAAAACUCUUUCAGGUAAAGAAAAAAAUCCUAGAAUUUUCCCAACCUUUUUACUUUGUAAAAACGAAUGGAAGAAGAAGAAAGCAAACAAACAAAAAAAAGAAACCAGCAGAAUAAUAAUAAAAAAA
rnacentral:lncRNA from 1 species